rnacentral:rRNA from 1 species
GAAUAAGCUACAAAGAGCAUACAGGAGGAUGCCUUGGUACAUGGCGCCGAAGAAGGACGUGACAAGCUGCGAAAAGCUGCGGGUAGUUGCAAAUGAACGUUGAACCGCAGAUAUCCGAAUGAGGGAACUCAAUGCAAGUAAUGUUGCAUUACUCCGUAAUGAAUCAAUAGUUACGGAGGGGGAACCUGGGGAACUGAAACAUCUAAUUACCCAGAGGAAAAGAAAGUAAAGAACGAUUCCGAGAGUAGUGGCGAGCGAAAUUGGAAGAGCCCAAAUCGUAUGUAGAAAUACGUACGAGGUUAGGACCGCAAUAAGUCAAGAACACGAGUUAGAAGAACAUAUCUAGAAAGGUAGGCCGAAGACGGUAACAGCCCGGUAUUCGACAAUUCGAAGAAGGCUAGCGGAAUCCAGAGUACGUCGGGACACGAGGAAUCCUGACGGAAGGAAGGAGGACCAUCUCCUAAGGCUAAAUACGACCAUGUGACCGAUAGAGUAUAGUACCGUGAGGGAAAGGUGAAAAG